ACCACUAGAGGAACUCAAUGUCUGCAGCUCUCUGACUCCAUUUUACAUAAGCACGUGAGUGCCAAGAACCUGCACAUCACCUGAGAAGUUUUCACGCCAUUGCAAGCAAAAUCCAGUCAUAGUUGGAAAAAUGGACAUGGAAGGGGAGAAAGAGCAGAACUCCAGUCUUCAGGAAAGACGGAAUGAAUCAUUCCUGGAGAGGGUGAAAGAAGACGAAGACAUGUUUAGACACAGAAUUGAAAGUCUCCCGGGGAAACGGCCAAAUUUGAAAAAAGAAAACAGCGAUUCUGGUGGCUUGAAGGAUGCCGAGACUCCGACACACCAGGACAUUUUAGUGGAAAUUAAUGGAUAAAUGUUGAUUUUUCCCUUUUUUUUUUUGUUUUACCUCAAGUGUCAUGCUGUAUAUAAUCAGCUUGUUUAUAUACGGUACACUACCGUUCAAAAGUUUGGGGUCACUUUGAAAUUUCCUUAUUUUUGAAAGAAAAGCACUGUUCUUUUCAAUGAAGAUCACUUUAAACUAAUCAGAAAUACACUCUAUACAUUGCUAAUGUGGUAAAUGACUAUUCUAGCUGCAAAUGUCUGGUUUUUGGUGCAAUAUCUCCAUAGGUGUAUAGAGGCCCAUUUCCAGCAACUCUCACUCCAGUGUUCUAAUGGUACAAUGUGUUUGCUCAUUGCCUCAGAAGGCUAAUGGAUGAUUAGAAAACCCUUGUACAAUCAUGUUAGCACAGCUGAAAACAGUUGAGCUCUUUAGAGAAGCUAUAAAACUGACCUUCCUUUGAGCAGAUUGAGUUUCUGGAGCAUCACAUUUGUGGGGUCGAUUAAAUGCUCAAAAUGGCCAGAAAAAUGUCUUGACUAUAUUUUCUAUUCAUGUUACAACUUAUGGUGGUAAAUAAAAGUGUGACUUUUCAUGGAAAACACAAAAUUGUCUGGGUGACCCCAAACUUUUGAACGGUAGUGUACCUUCUAAAACUGCUUUGGAUGGUGUAGUGGUUAGUACUGUCACCUCACAGCAAGAAGGUUCCGGGUUCGAACCUCACAGCCGAUGGGGGCCUUUCUGUGUGGGGUUUGCAUGUUCUCCUCAUGUCUACGUGGGUUUCCUCCGGGUGCUCCAGUUUCCCCCACAGUCCAAAGACAUGCAGGUUAGAUCAAUGGAUGGGCUCUGCCAAGUUUAAAAUGCCAUAGACUGUUAAUAGACUGUUAAAAAUGUCAUCAGUGGUGCCCUUGCUGGCUAUAGGGAAAAGAAGAAGGAAACUGCUUUAUCUAAUCAUAUUCUUGAACUUUCUCCUGAGCACCUGGUCUAACUCAGUCUUCCUUUUUUGGCUUUGGGUCUAAGCUAUUACCAUCUUCGGCUCUCAUCACUAUAAUUUCAUCACAAGUAAGCUUUGGUAAGCAACAUGUUUUUGUUUUCUCAUCUCAUUAUCUCUAGCCACUUUAUCCUUCUACAGGGUCGCAGGCAAGCUGGAGCCUAUCCCAGCUGACUACGGGCGAAAGGCGGGGUACACCCUGGACAAGUCGCCAGGUCAUUACAGGGCUGACACAUAGACACAGACAACCAUUCACACUCACAUUCACACCUACGGUCAAUUUGGAGUCACCAGUUAACCUAACCUGCAUGUCUUUGGACUGUGGGGGAAACCGGAGCACCCGGAGGAAACCCACGCGGACCCAGGGCUCGAACCCAGGACCUUCUUGCUGUGAGGCGACAGCACUAACCACUACACCACCGUGCCGCCCUGUUUUUGUUUUAUCAUUAUUAAAAUAACACCCUACUGACAGGUUCAGUACUUUUUAUGAUUACCAUUAGGGCUGUAACGAUAUGCGUAUCGAAAUUGAAAUCGCGAUACGCAGAGCCACGAUCCGUAUCGCGAUACAAGAAGGCAGAAUCGCGGUACACCCUUUCAAACUUCUCCUCAGCCCAAAAACAGAGGCGCUUCCAAACUUCAAUUUAUGAAUACUUUACUUUUUAUUUAAAUUACAUUUUAAACUUACUUAAAUUACUUUUUUUAUAUAUAUAUAUCUAUUAGUAAGUCGUUUUUUCGCCGACCUGCGACAAUCUUCUGCGAGUCACGCAACGUCCACACUCGCCACUGGCAGAGCAUUCAUUUCUUUUAAGCGGUCGCCAUUCUGGUUGCGACGCGGGGAGCGAAUCUGUAAACAAGCAGCUCAUUGGCUGGCUAGGUGUGCCACAAGCCAAUCACAAUCACUUGACCGGAAAGGCAUGCAGUGUUGCCAGAUUGGGCAGGUUUAGGUGCUUUUUGGCUGGUUUUGAACAUAUUUUGGGGUGAAAAACGUUAGCAGUAUCUGGCAACACUGAAGGCAUGUCUGCUUGGGCGGAAGCCUUCUGCGGCAGUUACAUUUUGACGCGCGAGCAAUGUUUCACCAUAAAAAUUCCGUAAUUUCCAUCUGUUUUCCGCGAUCACAGAAAAUCAUUGGCCCUAUGAGAGUGAGACAGUGAGAGAGCCGCCCCCCCCAAAAAAAAAAUCUUAACGGAUUUACACGAUUUGGAAAAAUGACUUUUUCAGAACCGAAAAAAACGGAGCUUCCGGUUCAACAGUAUUAUUUUGAGAAAUAAAACAAUCUUUGGAUAUACAUUUGUUCAUUUUUGCAUACAUAUUACUCAUUCUCUGCAGUGGUCUGAAUUAUUUGUUAUUAAAUAGUUAAUGUAAGUAAGUAAAUGUUAAUAAGUCAAAUUUACUACUUUAAAAAACAUUUUAAAAAAAUCGUGGGCGUAUCGAAUCGUGGGUCAAAAAUCGCGAUACGAAUCGAAUCGUGAGUUGGGUGUAUCGUUACAGCCCUAAUUACCAUGGUAAUAGACUUGUAGCAUUUCUAUUUCUCAUUAUAAUUCUUAUACAGAGAAAAAAAUAUAUAUACAUUUAUUCCACUACAAGGAUCACUCAGAGGUAUAACUUCUACCAUGUGUUUUACCUUUUGUUUUCCUACAAUUCGUUGUAUAUACAAUGUCAUUUUUCCAAACGAGUAAAAAACUAAUGAUUACUUUAAUGUAAAAAAAAAAAAUUAAAUGUUUGCUUUAUAUAUUCUACAGCUUAGCAUGUUAUGUUUAUCAGUGUUUAUCAUUUACUGUAACCUAUCUUGGGCUGCUAGUGGGGGUUUUUCCUCGCAUUUAUAAAUAAAAUGAUUUGAUUUCA